CUACGGGAGGCAGCAGUGGGGAAUUUUGGACAAUGGGCGCAAGCCUGAUCCAGCCAUUCCGCGUGAGUGAAGAAGGCCUUCGGGUUGUAAAGCUCUUUCGCAAGGGAAGAAAACUUAUCCUCUAACAUAGGGUGAGGUUGACGGUACCUUGAUAAGAAGCACCGGCUAACUACGUGCCAGCAGCCGCGGUAAUACGUAGGGUGCGAGCGUUAAUCGGAAUUACUGGGCGUAAAGCGUGCGCAGGCUGUUUUGUAAGUCAGAUGUGAAAUCCCCGAGCUCAACUUGGGAACUGCGUUUGAAACUGCAAGACUAGAAUAUGUCAGAGGGGGGUAGAAUUCCAUGUGUAGCAGUGAAAUGCGUAGAGAUGUGGAGGAAUACCAAUGGCGAAGGCAGCCCCCUGGGAUAAUAUUGACGCUCAUGCACGAAAGCGUGGGGAGCAAACAGGAUUAGAUACCCCGGUAGUC
rnacentral:rRNA from 1 species